rnacentral:rRNA from 1 species
CUGGCUCAGGAUUAACGCUGGCGGCGUGCCUAAUACAUGCAAGUCGAAUGGUUAGCUUGCUAACCAUGGCGAACGGGUGAGUAACACGUAGGCAACCUGUCUAAGAGACGAGGAUAACCAUUGGAAACGAUGGAUAAUACUGGAUAGGAUAUGAUAAGGCAUCUUAUUAUAUUCAAAGAUUUAUCACUGUUAGAGGGGCCUGCGGCGCAUUAGCUAGUUGGUGAGGUAGGGGCCCACCAAGGCGAUGAUGCGUAGCCGGACUGAGAGGUUGAACGGCCACAAUGGGACUGAGAACGGCCCAUACUCCUACGGGAGGCAGCAGUAGGGAAUUUUCGGCAAUGGAACGAAAGUCUGACCGAGCAACGCCGCGUGAACGAAGAAGUAUUUCGGUAUGUAAAGUUCUUUUGUUUGGGAAGAAAAUAAAUUGACGGUACCAAACGAAUAAGCUCCGGCUAACUACGUGCCAGCCGCAGC